GGGGGUGUAUGGGGGGGUAUGGGGACGUAUAGGGGUGUAAGGGGAUGUAUGGGCACAUAUAGAGCCCAUAGGGACAUAUUGGGACAUAUAGGGACGCAUCGGUCCAUAGGGGCACACAGAGCUCUUUGGGGUCUCCUAUUGGGGUCCCAUCGGGGUCUUCUAUGGGUUUCCCAUUGGGGUUUCCUUUUGGGGUCUCCCAUUGGGGUUCUGUUGGGGUCCUCUAUGGGUUUCCUAUUAGGGCCUCCUUUUGGGGUCCUAUUGGGGUCCCAUUGGGGUCCUUUUGGGUUUUGACUGGGGUUCCAUUGGGGUCCUCUAUGGGAUUCCCAUUGAGGUUUCCUAUUGGGGUCUCCAUUGGGGUUCUAUUGCGGUUCUCUAUGGGUUUCCUAUUAGGGCCUCCUUUUGGGAUCCUAUUGAGGUCCUUUUGGGGUCCUUUUGGGUUUUGACUGGGGUUCCAUUGGGGUCCUCUAUGGGUUUCCCAUUGAGGUUUCCUAUUGGGGUCUCCCAUUGGGGUUCUAUUGCGGUCCUCUAUGGGUUUCCUAUUAGGGCCUCAUUUGGGGUCCUAUUGGGGUUCCAUUGGGGUCCUUCAUUGGGGUCCUUUUGGGGUUUGACUGGCGUUCCAUUGGGGUCCUCUAUGGGUUUCCCAUUGAGGUUUCCUAUUGGGGUUCUAUUGGGGUCCUCUAUGGGUUUCCUAUUAGGCCCUCCUUUUGGGGUCCUAUUGGGGUCUCCCAUUGGGGUCCUUUUGGGGUUUGACUCAGGUUCCAUUGGGGUUGCCUAUGGGUUUCCCAUUGAGGUUUCCUAUUGGGGUCUCCUAUUGGGGUUCUAUUGGGGUCCCAUUGGGGUCCUUUUGGGGUUUGACUUGGGUUCUAUUGGGAUACUUUACAGGUUUCCUAUUAGGGCCUCCUUUUGGGGUCUCCCAUUGGGGUCCUAUUGGGGUCUCCCAUUGGGGUCCUUUUGGGGUCCCCUACUGGGGUCCCUCCUCACCCAUAUAGCGGCGCUGUGGGUCCAGUGCCAGCCUUGCAGCCGUUGCCAACCCGAUGCCGGAGGAAGUCCCGGUGAUCAGAACCGUGCGCUGCGUCGGGGCCGCCAUCACCGCUAUGGGGUGGCUGUGGGGUGGUGGGGUCGGUUAUGGGGUGAUGGGGUCAGUUAUGGGGUGAUGGGGUCAGUUA
rnacentral:lncRNA from 1 species